rnacentral:lncRNA from 1 species
CCUUAGGUCACAUGGAGUGUCUCCCAGCUUUGUGAUUCUGCAGUUGUUCAAACUGGAUUUUGCCAAGUCUGUGAUGAGCUGGAAGCCACAUAGUGGAGAGUCAGAACCACCUCCUCAAGUUGUCCUCUGACCUCCACAGGCAAGUCAUGGCAUACGCACAUACUCCCAUAAAUAAACAGGGUCUUUCACUGACACUGGAGCUCACCAAUUCAGCUAGACUGACUGGCCACUGAGCCUCAGGAAUCCUCUUGUCUCCACCUUCCCCGAGCUGGGAUUACAGAUAUGUACUGCUAUAUUCAGAAUUUUUCUACAGGGGUGCUGAGGAUUUAACUCAGUUACUGGUGCUUGCACAUGGAGAAUUUUAUCAUCUGAGCCACCUCUCUAGUGUAGUAUCUAACUUGUUCUUAAUUCUAAAACAUGUUAUAUGUAUAAAUGGUUGCCUGCAAGUAUGUAUGUGCUCCAGGCGCCUUCCUGGUACCAAAAGAUACAAGAAAAGGGUGUUGGAACCCACUGGGACUAGAGUUAUAGAUGGUUAUGGGCCACUAUGUGGGUACUGGGAAUUGAACCCAGGUCUUUUGCACUAACAGAAAGUACUCCUAACCACUAAGCCAUCUGUCCAGCCCCAAGACCUAAUUUUUAAACCUGUUUUCCAAGGUUUUCUAGAAUCUGGCCUCCAUCUACUUCACUUACUUUUCUCUACCUUCAGUAUCAUAAAUUUCUAUUUACCACCUCCAGUGGAUGACUUUUCUAAAUAAAUACAAAGCUUCCCCUUCACUCUGUAACUUUGUUCCCUCUAUCCCUCUUUUGUGCUGGGAUUAAAGGCAUGGGACACCACUGCCCGGCCUCUCUAUCCCUCUUAUGUUAAGUUCUUCUCUAAUUUCUAAAUGUCUAAAAUAUGUACUUUCUCAAAUCUACACUGUCUGCUACACUUGUCCCAUGAGGAAAAAGGACUUCUUGGAGGAUGCUGAAGGCUGUCAGUUCUCCCAACUGAGCUUUCUAAAGUGUUUGGCUGUGUAACAAAUCACUGCUUGGAGAAGUUAGAAUCUUGGUCAGUACGAUGAUCUUUCAACUAGCAGUUUGAGGGAAAAUGAACAGUCAAUAUAAAAUUUGGUUGAAUGGAAAAUUGAAUUUUUUCCCUCAGAAAUCAAGGAAGGCUCAAUGUAGAAGCUUUUUAUUCUCAUCUUUCUCCUUUCAUCCUUUACUGCGGUUCAUGAAAAUGUAAGAUUAAGAGAAACUCUGGUCUCUGAAAACAACCAUUGUCUUGUUUUAUCACCCAGGCUUCCUUCCUCCCAAGAUCCACCUCCUUGUGGCCUACUUUACCAGCAGAUGUCAUAAGCUCAGGAGGGAGAGAUAUAAUUUUGAUAUUAACUUGAAUUAAGAAAAAAGAAAUGUAAUUAAAAAGUGGAUCUUCUGUCUUAAAAAGCAAACUUUUUAAAAGAUAGCAUAUUCUGCAAACAAAGCCCUUCCUGUGUUUUCUGUUGCAGGGUAUCUGUGCUACCAUGCCCAUCUCUGGGCAGAUGGAGAAGUGAGAAUUGAUGCAAUAAAGCCUUGCUUUGUUUGCUCACAAAGCACGAUGCUUUCUUUCCAUUCUGCUUACUUGCUCAGCACUGGUCCUGAGAAUGGGGACAGAGAAGAUAAGCCAAGGUUCACCCAAGCCAAGGAUAGAUAUAGUGGGAACAGAGUGUCAAGAAUUCUCUCCGUUCAGUGACAGCAUAUAGGGGAAGACUCAGUGGCACUUUUUCCCUGACUCUCUAGUGGCCUCCAGCCCCUACCUGUGCCACUUAGUGACUGCACCACCACAGGCAAAUCUGCCAUUUCUUUCUCAGCUAAGAAAGUCACGUAACACCCACUACAAUAGAAUCAUGCAGACUUAGUAAAUUGUGAAGUGCUGCCCAACUACAAAUUCAAAACUACCUAUUUUUUCCCAUUCCUCUACCUUGGAUUUACAAGCAUCUUUGGAGGCCCAGUAGAUCUCAAUUCUUAAGACCUGGAAGUUCCUCCGGAUAUCCCAAAACCACCCCAAAUCCCUGGUACCUCAACCUUAUAGCAAGACAUCCUAUCAUGCUUACGUCCUGGUUUUGGUGCUGUGAGAACGUCAAAGAUGAAUGGAUAUCAAAUAAGAGAAAUGCUUUACCAAAGGAACAUCUUUGAAUGUGAAGGACUUUAAGGGAGAAGAAGAGUACUGUGGUCAGCUGUUAUAAGUUCUACCAUCAGUCGGCAUAACUGGAUGCUGGCAUGUAGAAGACUGCAGAUAGAUCCAUAUCUAUCACUGUUCAUGAAACUUAAGUCCAAAUGGAUAAAAGACCUCAACAUAAAUCCAGCCACACUGAACUUAGAAGAGAAAGUGGGAAGUACCCUUGAGCGAAUUGGUACAGGAGACUGCUU